GUGUUUAUUAGAGUCAGAUACACGGGUAAUCCAGGUGAGACAACAAAUGGUUGAUGCGAUGAAUGACGGUGAUCCAGGAAGUGGCGGUGAGGUGAGGCAGCAGGAGAGCGUGACACAGGCCUGAGAUGAGUGAUCCGUGGUAGUGAGUCGUUGCAUCCGGUGGUGAAGAGUGGACGGGGUUCUAGGGUCAGACGAACAGCGAAGAUGAACACACAGAGAAACAGGAACGAGUAACCAGGCAGACGUGCGGGAAACAUCAAACAACGCUCUGACAAACACAAGACGAAAGACAGGGCAAUAAGUAGGGAUCGGGUAAUGAGUAACAGCUGGUGCAGAUGAACAAUCAACGGAGACGCCCACAUGAAACAAUCAGUGCUGUCGAGUGACACACACAACUUCACUCACAUCAUGCAAACCCAAGACCACGGUUUACCGACCGUGACACUGAGACACAACUUGCUUGAUAGUAAGCAUUUUGAACUUGAGUCUCGUGACUGAGCAGUUCAACAAUUGAUGAUCUAGAAUUGGACGCAACCCACUAUCCUUCAUCAGAAUGAUGAAGUAUCAGCUGUAGAACCCGGACUCUCUGUCGAGAGGAGGGACCACCUCGAUGGCCUCCUUCCUCAAAAGAGUGUGUACUUCUUGUUCCAUUACCAGAGUCUGCUCGGGGCCCAACAGAGUGGGAAACACCCUGUUGAAUAGAGGUGGAUGCAUCCCAAACUGAAUCUGGUACCCUCUUUCUACAGUGUGCGGGCCCAUUGAGACACAUUUGGCAAAAGCUUCCACACUGCCAGAUAAUGUACGAAGGUAACCAGUCUCUCGAGAUUGGCCUCUGGUGUGCUUUGAACUUCUAGUUCGGUUCCCUGAUGUGGAGGACCAGCAGGGGACAGCUGAUCUAGCUCUUCUAGAGACCUCCUUGGAGGUAGCAAGCCUCUCAGGACUGCUUUGUUUCCAGGUAGAAACUGCGAGAUAUACUCGCUGGAGAUCGCUGUGCCCUGAAGCACCGGGGGUGGUAGGGUUAAAUGAAUGAUCUUUUGAGGUCACUGAGGAGAGACGGGCACUGUGUGAUGAGGUGUGAACUGCUCUUCCCCAGAGGGGCCUGCCCUCAGAAGUCAUGUACCAUGGGCGUCAGGACCUCUUGGCCAAAGCCUUCUUAUUGAAAACGACGGUUCUCAGACCUGUCAUCUCCUUCGAAUUUUUCAACCUCCCUUUCUGGACUUCACAAUAUGAGGUGCUGGUGCAUGGCUGGGGCUGAUCCUGCCUAUAAGCCCCAAGAGAAUGGCGAGAGAGAAAUCACUGAAACGCUUGUUUCUUGGCCACCUAUAAACUUGUGACCGCCCCUUUAAUAGCGUUGCGGAACAGUCCAGAAGGCAUUAGCGGGGCAUCAAGGAUAUUGGACAGGGUCAACCACAGAUGUCUCCAAUAGUGUGUCCAAUAGGGCUGCCAUAGAAUGACAAAUGUGGCCCGGAGUGACAAAUCUGUGGCUCUACGCAAUUCAGCAAUGUCAUCAUUCUUAAUCUCUUCUCCCUCAUCCAUCUCUUUUAGCAGGUCAGCCUGGUAUGCCUGCAACACCGCCAUAGUGUGCAAGCAAGCUCCAGCCUGACAUGCUGCCUUGUAUGCAUUACCCACCAAAGUAACUCUGGGCCUUAAGGGAAGAUGCACUGCCAAGUGAAAGAUAGCCCACAAGCAUAACAUUUGGACUAAAGAGGCGGGAGUAUGACUUAUCCUACGAUCUAGACAUCUCAGUGUGCAGAUCAGGGAAAAAUGGCAGACCCCGGCAUGGAGACAGUGACUUUGACCGCAAGAAACGUUCAUUGAGCUUGCUCUUAGGACACUCCUGUUGCUCUUUCUCUGCUGGCCAAUCAAUAUUUAACUUGGACACCACUCUAGUCACUACCUCCAACAGGUCCUCAAACAAGACGGACUGUGGUGGCAAGUCCACAGACUUGUCUCGAUCGGCG
ensembl:lncRNA